AAUAGUCUUUGGGGCAAGGUGAGAAAGCGACGCUUUCAAUUCCUGACCGGCGGUAGAGUCCGCUAACUCCUUAUGGGAGCUGAACCGAUGGGAUUUCGGUACCGACAGUAUAGUCUGGAUGGGAAAAGACAGCA
rnacentral:ncRNA from 2 species